rnacentral:rRNA from 1 species
GAUAAACGCUGGCGGCGUGCUUCAGGCAUGCAAGUCGAACGGACACUACGGUGUCAGUGGCGGACGGGUGAGUAACACGUAAGUAACCUGCCCAGAAGUGGGGAAUAACUUGCCGAAAGGCGAGCUAAUACCGCAUGUGAUGGUACUUCUCUGGAGGGAUCAUUAAAGGCGAAAGUCGCUUCUGGAGGGGCUUGCGGCCGAUUAGCUAGUUGGUGGGGUAAUAGCCUACCAAGGCUUCGAUCGGUAGCUGGUCUGAGAGGACGGUCAGCCACAC